rnacentral:rRNA from 1 species
UACGGAGGGUGCAAGCGUUAAUCGGAAUUACUGGGCGUAAAGCGUGCGCAGGCGGUUUGUUAAGUCUGUUGUGAAAUCCCCGAGCUCAACUUGGGAAUUGCAAUGGAUACUGGCAGGCUGGAGUAUGGUAGAGGAAGGUGGAAUUCCCGGUGUAGCAGUGAAAUGCGUAGAGAUCGGGAGGAACACCAGUGGCGAAGGCGGCCUUCUGGACCAAUACUGACGCUCAUGCGCGAAAGCUAGGGUAGCAAACGGG